rnacentral:piRNA from 1 species
AAAGAGUGAUGUUGUGCCAU